GACGAACGCUGGCGGCGUGCUUAACACAUGCAAGUCGAACGAAGUGGCGAACGGGUGAGUAACGCGUAAUCAACCUGCCCUUCAGAGGGGGACAACAGUUGGAAACGACUGCUAUAACCACAUCCUGAAGGAGGGGGUUGCGGUUGAUUAGUUAGUUGGAGGUGUAACGGCCCGCCAAGGCGAUGAUCAGUAGCCGGUCUGAGAGGAUGAGCGGCCACAUUGGGACGGAGACACGGCCCAGACUCCUACGGGAGGCAGCAGUGGGGAAUCUUCCGCAAUGGAUGGAAGUCUGACGGAGCAACGCCGCGUGAGUGAUGACGGCCUUCGGGUUGUAAAGCUCUGUUAAUCGGGACGCGGUACCGGAAUAGAAAGCCACGGCUAACUACGUGCCAGCAGCCGCGGUAAUAC
rnacentral:rRNA from 1 species